rnacentral:rRNA from 1 species
UACGUAGGGUGCGAGCGUUGUCCGGAAUUACUGGGCGUAAAGCGUGCGCAGGCGGUUUUGUAAGUCUGUCGUGAAAUCCCCGGGCUCAACCUGGGAAUUGCGAUGGAGACUGCAAGGCUAGAAUCUGGCAGAGGGGGGUAGAAUUCCACGUGUAGCAGUGAAAUGCGUAGAGAUGUGGAGGAACACCGAUGGCGAAGGCAGCCCCCUGGGCUAACACUGACGCUCAUGCACGAAAGCGUGGGGAGCAAACAGG